rnacentral:misc_RNA from 1 species
ACGUUCCAUAAAUGUUUCUUUUCUCAUACACUGUGGAAAUCUUUCUAAGAAGUAUUAAACUGUUUAAAGAUUUUCUUUCAUUUAUGCAGUAUUAUUGUAAAGCAAACGAAAGAUUUUAAUUUAAAAAUUAACAUCACUUAAGUUGCUAAAUCCUGAUUACAAAUUAAAUAUUUGUUUUGAAUAAGAGAUAGCUUAGGUGUACAGUACAAGUAAACCAUGAAGAUUCUGUUUUUCAUACUUUUAUGUGUGAUAUCGUCUCAUGUCUGUGCGUUAGAUAAUGGAUUAGCUUUAACUCCACCAAUGGGCUGGUUAUCCUGGGCACGUUUUGUUUGCAAUAUAAAUUGUAAAGAUGAUCCUGAAAAUUGCAUAAGUGAAAGGUUAUAUAUGGACAUGGCUGAUCGCCUUGUAGCCGAUGGCUUUAAAGAUGCAGGUUAUGAAUAUAUAAAUAUAGAUGACUGCUGGAUGGAUAAAGUCAGAGACAGCUCUGGUAGACUACAACCUGAUCCUGUUAGAUUUCCGAAUGGAAUUAAAUCAAUUGCAGACUAUGUACAUUCUAAAGGUUUGAAGUUGGGAAUUUAUACAGACUGUGGGGUAAAAACAUGUGCUGGUUAUCCAGGAAGCUAUGGAUAUUAUGAUAUAGAUGCUUUAACAUUUGCUGAGUGGGGUAUUGAUAUGUUAAAAGUUGAUGGUUGUUAUGCAGAACCAAAAGAUAUGGAUACAUUAUAUCCUAUGAUAACCUUGGCACUCAAUAAAACGGGUCGACCUAUUGUUUUCUCAUGUAGUUGGCCAGCUUAUCAAGAAGGUUCAGGAUUACAUCCAAAUUAUUCAGAAAUUGCAAAGCACUGUAAUUUGUGGCGAAAUUAUGAUGAUAUUGAAGACUCGUGGAAAAGUGUUCUUUCCAUUGUGGAUUUUUAUGCCAGUCGCCAAAAUGAAUUUGCAGCAGCUGCAGGACCAGGACACUGGAAUGACCCUGAUAUGAUAUUGGCUGGUAAUUUUGGUCUUAGCUUUGAAGAAGCAAAAGCACAAUUUGCAUUGUGGGCUAUCAUGGCUAGUCCUUUACUGGUUUCAAAUGAUUUAAGAUCUCUUUCUCCUACCAUAAGAGAACUACUCACUAACAAGGAGAUCAUUGCUGUUAAUCAAGAUAGUUUAGGAAUUAUGGGAAAAAGAAUUUAUAAUGUUCAGGGAAUUGCAAGAUGGAAAAUGAAAUCUCGAAGAUAAGAGAAAUACUUACCAAAUCAUUUACGUCAUGGUAAAAGUUUCCUUUCCUCCAGUGUGCCUCCAGAAAAGCGACAUAGAAAUAUGGAGGAGGCCAAUAAGUCCCAUCAGCAGUAAUGGGAAAUAUUCUUAUGCUCUAGUUUUUUUUAAUCGCAGAACACUAGGAGGACCGACAAAAGUCACUGCUAAUUUAGAAUCAAUGGGAC